rnacentral:rRNA from 1 species
GACGAACGCUGGCGGCGUGCUUAACACAUGCAAGUCGAGCGGAGAUAUAUGAAAGCUUGCUUUAGGUAUCUUAGCGGCGGACGGGUGAGUAACGCGUGGGCAACCUGCCUUGUACUGGGGAAUAACAACGGGAAACUGGUGCUAAUACCGCCUAAUAUCACGAUGCGGCAUCAUGUUGUGAUCAAAGGAGCGAUCCGGUAUGAGAUGCGCCCGCGUGGGAUUAGCUAGUUGGUAGGGUAAUGGCCUACGAAGGCGACGGUCGGUAGCCGAACUGAGUGGUAGAUCGGCCACAUUGGGACUGCGACACGGCGCAGACGCCUGCGGGAGGGAGCAGUGGGGAGUAGUGCGCAAUGGGGGAAACCCUUACGCAGCAACGCCGCGUGAAGGAUGAAGGCUUUCGGGUUGUAAACUUCUUUGAUGAGGGACGAUAAUGACGGUACCUCGAAAACAAGCCACGGCUAACUACGUGCCAGCCGCCGCCGUAA